AUGAACGCCACGAUGGACACUACGGAAAGCACCUUCCAAUUCCCGAUCAACAUGGUGGAUGUCACCAUGACGGACACGACGAGAAGCAUGACCCAACUCCCGAUCAGCACGACGGACGUCGCCACGACGGGCACAGUGGGAAGCAUGUCCCAAGUUCUGAUCGGCACGGCGAACGUCGCCGUGACGGACACGACGAAAAGCAUCUACCAAGUGCCUACCUGCACGGCGAACGUCAUCACGAUGAACACAACGGAAAGCAUCUCCCAACUCCCGAUCUGCACAGCAGGCCAAGUCUCCUCGCGCGAUAUGCCACAACUGUGCAGCAUGCCGGCUAUUGCUACUAUGGAAGCUGGUUCGACUACAACAGAAGGAACCUGCUCACCCUCCUUCCGUAAACCAAGAGGCUACUCUGCAUUUGCCUCCGCAUCUAGCUGUCAGCAAACCCAUCUCACAUGCCUUGAUGUGGUCGUCCAAAGUGCUACAACUACAGAACAUGAACUGUGCUUCAGUACAAGACAUGGGGCUUCAGCUAUGGGAUUGGGCAAUAGCUCGCAUGAUGAAGUAAAUGAGGAAGAAUUUGCUACGCCGAAAAAGAAAGCCAACAUUCCUCUAUUUUGCUCAGCUUUUACACCGAGAUGUGACGAGAAACUGAAACCUAAAGCAGGGAUGAGAUUUGAAGGGCUCGAGGCUGUGGAGGAGUUCUACAAGCCCUAUGCACAUCAAGUGGGUUUUGGAGUUCAUGUUGGACAACAAAAAAAGUUGAACAAGGACGUUGUCCAGACAAAGUGUUUCAUGUGCAGUAGGGAAGGUUUCGUGUUUGAGAAAAGCAAGGAUAUUAAAGAUCUAUCACUGAAAAGUCGUAAGGUUACGACCAUGCGAUGUGGUUGUAAUGCACAUAUCUUCAUCAAGUUGUGUGGCGAAAACACCUACAUGAUACACUCAUGGGUUGAGCACCACACCAUGGCCUUGUAUCUCCUGAUAAACUAUAACGCCCCGAGCCCGAUCCGCUAG
rnacentral:rRNA from 1 species